rnacentral:rRNA from 1 species
CCUACGGGGGGCAGCAGUGAGGAAUAUUGGUCAAUGGACGAGAGUCUGAACCAGCCAAGUAGCUUGAAGGAUGACUGCCCUAUGGGUUGUAAACUUCUUUUAUAUGGGAAUAAAAUGUUCCACGUGUGGGAUUUUGUAUGUACCCUAUGAAUAAGGAUCGGCUAACUCCGUGCCAGCAGCCGCGGUAAUACGGAGGAUCCGAGCGUUAUCCGGAUUUAUUGGGUUUAAAGGGAGCGUAGGUGGAUUGUUAAGUCAGUUGUGAAAGUUUGCGGCUCAACCGUAAAAUUGCAGUUGAAACUGGCAGUCUUGAGUACAGUAGAGGUGGGCGGAAUUCGUGGUGUAGCGGUGAAAUGCUUAGAUAUCACGAAGAACUCCGAUUGCGAAGGCAGUUCACUGGACUGCAACUGACACUGAGGCUCGAAAGUGUGGGUAUCAAACAGGAUUAGAUACCCGGGUAGUC